AGGGAGUUCAGAGGUAGAAUUCUUGCCUUUCAUGUGGGAGUCCUGGGUUUGAUUCCCAGCCU
rnacentral:tRNA from 1 species